AGUGAACGCUGGCGGUAGGCCUAACACAUGCAAGUCGAACGGCAGCACAGUAAGAGCUUGCUCUUACGGGUGGCGAGUGGCGGACGGGUGAGGAAUACAUCGGAAUCUACUUUUUCGUGGGGGAUAACGUAGGGAAACUUACGCUAAUACCGCAUACGACCUACGGGUGAAAGCAGGGGAUCUUCGGACCUUGCGCGAUUGAAUGAGCCGAUGUCGGAUUAGCUAGUUGGCGGGGUAAAGGCCCGCCAAGGCGUCGAUCCGUAGCUGGUCUGAGAGGAUGAUCAGCCACACUGGAACUGAGACACGGUCCAGACUCCUACGGGAGGCAGCAGUGGGGAAUAUUGGACAAUGGGCGCAAGCCUGAUCCAGCCAUACCGCGUGGGUGAAGAAGGCCUUCGGGUUGUAAAGCCCUUUUGUUGGGAAAGAAAAGCAGCAGGUUAAUACCCCGCUGUUCUGACGGUACCCAAAGAAUAAGCACCGGCUAACUUCGUG
rnacentral:rRNA from 1 species